UGAGCCAAAAUAUGGUGCGCCUAUUUUGAGCAAAUCCAAUUCCAAACGGCUAUUCUACCAAACCCAAUUCGAAACGCCUAUUCUAGCCAAAAAGUUGGGAUUUUUUACAUGAUUUGGGAGAUGGGUUUUGUGAGUUCCUUCUUCAAGCCAGUAGGUCAACUGCUACUCCUGCAGACACUUGAUUUCAUGUUGUAGAGAUUGCUGGUCACUCAUAUGGUGUUUGUACUUCAAAGGAGGAAAGUUAGGAGCAGGUGAAUUACUCUUGUCUACACUUGCUGUGGUUUCCUCUUUCUCUAAUAUCAAAUUAACCUAUUUCAUGUUGCAAGAAUUGAUUUCAUGUUAACCCAUUUCUCUUUCUAUUAAUUUCAUGUUGCAAGAAUUGUUGGAUACUCACAUGAUAAUUGUACUUCAAAUGAGCGAAAUUGGGAACUUUUUGUUAGAUUAGUGAAUUACGAAAUCAAAAAAUGGAAUAGAGGUAUUUAUCAGUGCAUGGUGCUGGCUCCUCUGUCUUACAAAAUGCAAGAAGAAGCAUCUUGAUCUUUACACUUUCUCUUUGGAGUCUCUUUGGUUCCUUCUGCUGCAGUUCAUAUCAUCAGUCAAGGAAUCCUUUAACUUGAAGGUCAGCUUGUUGUCUUUCUUGAAUCUAUGAGCAGCUUUUCUUCAUUUUAUGUGACUAUAUUUUCAAAA